CAAUCCCUUAUGUGGCUGUUUGAGAAGCACAGGUCUUCUGCUGCUGGUGGAGUUUAUCAGCUAUUUGUCAAGUUACCAAAAAGUUCCCACAGAGAUUUUAAUCUGAUUAUCUUAAAAACAUAGAUGAAAUUGAGAAAAUUCCACAUUUCUACAGUGUCAACUUCAUGUUUGGGAGCAUGGCUAAACCCUAGCCUCAGUUCUUGAAAUACUGUUGGAGGAAGUCAUCAAGAGUACGUGACUGCCAGUUGACCUGAGAGCUGGACCCAGGCAAUUGGAGGCUCCUUAACUUUCCCCUGCCUUGGGAAUGGACGUUCCACCCACUAUUCCCACUCUUGGAGGCAUUUCAGGGAUGCAGCUUGAGAUAAUAAUGUGUUGUUGAGACCAUCCGGACAGUAUACGCAACUGAACCCAGGAAAGCAUGUAGUGCUGAAGUCCCUGCAGCCUUUUCUGAAGAACCUGUGUAUCCCCACAGUGGAGCCAGCAUUGGGUCACCAGCCACACAGGACAUUUACAACUGACAGAAAACGAAAACUCCGACCAGCUAAAUAAGUAGGCUUUUCCCCCUUUCCUUUCAACCACUUUCCUCACUCUGAUCCUGGGGAAAAAUGGAAAAGAAUAAAGAAAAAGCAAAAUACACAGGCCACUUCCUCCUCUCAACUGCAGGAACCCAAGGCAGAUGUCAGGCCUGAACUUGGAGAGAAGGAUGAGCACAGGAUAGGGGAGAAGCUUUGUAUUGGAUGUGAGAUUGCAAUUUUAAUUUGGACUGGGCUGGACUUUCGAAUCCCUGAAAGUGAGCCAUGGGAAUUUUUUUUAUAACCCUCUGUGACCAAAACUGUGGAAUCGGUGCUUCCAGUGGUGGAGCAGGGAGGUCCUUCAGAGCAGAGAAGAGAACAGUAUUUGGAGAAAGAUAGAGUCAUUUCCUUUUUGUGUCUUAUCACAGUCCAG
rnacentral:lncRNA from 1 species